GACGAACGCUGGCGGCGUGCUUAACACAUGCAAGUCGAACGGUAAGGCCCUUCGGGGUACACGAGUGGCGAACGGGUGAGUAACACGUGGGUGAUCUGCCCUGCACUUCGGGAUAAGCCUGGGAAGCUGGGUCUAAUACCGGAUAGGACCAUUGCCUGCAUGGGUGGUGGUGGAAAGCUUUUGCGGUGUGGGAUGGGCCCGCGGCCUAUCAGCUUGUUGGUGGGGUGAUGGCCUACCAAGGCGACGACGGGUAGCCGGCCUGGGAGGGUGACCGGCCACACUGGGACUGAGAUACGGCCCAGACUCCUACGGGAGGCAGCAGUGGGGAAUAUUGCACAAUGGGCGCAAGCCUGAUGCAGCGACGCCGCGUGAGGGAUGACGGCCUUCGGGUUGUAAACCUCUUUCAGCACCGACGAAGCGCAAGUGACGGUAGGUGCAGAAGAAGGACCGGCCAACUACGUGCCAGCCGCCGCCGUAA
rnacentral:rRNA from 1 species